GACGAACGCUGGCGGCGUGCUUAACACAUGCAAGUCGAACGGAAAGGCCCUGCUUUUGUGGGGUGCUCGAGUGGCGAACGGGUGAGUAACACGUGAGUAACCUGCCCUUGACUUUGGGAUAACUUCAGGAAAUUGGGGCUAAUACCGGAUAGGAGCUCCUGCUGCAUGGUGGGGGUUGGAAAGUUUCGGCGGUUGGGGAUGGACUCGCGGCUUAUCAGCUUGUUGGUGGGGUAGUGGCUUACCAAGGCUUUGACGGGUAGCCGGCCUGAGAGGGUGACCGGCCACAUUGGGACGGAGAUACGGCCCAGACUCCUACGGGAGGCAGCAGUGGGGAAUAUUGCACAAUGGGCGGAAGCCUGAUGCAGCAACGCCGCGUGCGGGAUGACGGCCUUCGGGUGGUAAACCGCUUUCGCCUGUGACGAAGCGUGAGUGACGGUAAUGGGUAAAGAAGCACCGGCUAACUACGUG
rnacentral:rRNA from 1 species